rnacentral:sRNA from 1 species
ACCUUAAUUAUAUUUUUAAUCUUUAGGCUUUUUAUUUAAACAACAAAAAAUAAUUCUUAUUUAAUGCAACUUUUUAAAGACAAUAAUGUUUUUUUUUUUACUAAUUCAUUAAAUUUACACAGUAUCUUGAUUAUGAUUUUGGAUGGUAAAACAAUGAGCACUUAAAAGUAUCUCAAUAGAUGCAAAAUGGAGUUCUCAUUAUUGGUUCUCUUAAAAAAGAGUUGAAAAAUAAAUCAAAAUGGAUUAAAAGAGAGAGAGAGCUGUCUCUUUUGAGAGAGUUUUUGAGAGAGAUGAGAGACGAUGAUGUGGUGCCUUAUCAUUGGUUAAUUGUUUUUAACAAAAAAAGCAAAAAAAGCGUGAAAGCUUCUCCUGAUUCUAUCUUGAUCAUUGUUUCUAAUCAUGUCGAUGUUUUGACUUACAUUGCUUGGAAACUCUCUAAUUUUCAGGUGAAUCGAGUUCUUGGAUCUGGUAUACUAAUCUUCUCGGUUCCGAUUCUUAAUCGCAGAUCAUCUCGAUGUUAAUGCUCUAGAUGUAAAGGUCAGCUUCUAUCUAAAUUAGGGAUUUGUGUAAUAAAGCUGUGCUUUUUUU